CAACAGGGUAUUGCUCUAGUAACGGCGAGUGAAGCAGCAAUAGCUCAAAUUUGAAAUCUGGCGUCUUCGACGUCCGAGUUGUAAUUUGUAGAGGAUGCUUCUGAGUGGCCACCGACCUAAGUUCCUUGGAACAGGACGUCAUAGAGGGUGAGAAUCCCGUAUGCGGUCGGAAAGGCGCUCUAUACGUAGCUCCUUCGACGAGUCGAGUUGUUUGGGAAUGCAGCUCUAAAUGGGAGGUAAAUUUCUUCUAAAGCUAAAUAUUGGCCAGAGACCGAUAGCGCACAAGUAGAGUGAUCGAAAGAUGAAAAGCACUUUGGAAAGAGAGUUAAAAAGCACGUGAAAUUGUUAAAAGGGAAGGGAUUGCAACCAGACUUGCUCGCGGUGUUCCGCCGGUCUUCUGACCGGUCUACUCGCCGCGUUGCAGGCCAGCAUCGUCUGGUGCCGCUGGAUAAGACUUGAGGAAUGUAGCUCCCUCGGGAGUGUUAUAGCCUCUUGUGAUGCAGCGAGCGCCGGGCGAGGUCCGCGCUUCGGCUAGGAUGCUGGCGUAAUGGUCGUAAUCCGCCCGUCUUGAAACACGGACCAAGGAGUCUAACAUCUAUGCGAGUGUUCGGGUGUCAAACCCCUACGCGUAAUGAAAGUGAACGGAGGUGAGAACCGCAAGGUGCAUCAUCGACCGAUCCUGAUGUCUUCGGAUGGAUUUGAGUAAGAGCAUAGCUGUGGGGACCCGAAAGAUGGUGAACUAUGCCUGAAUAGGGGUGAAGCCAGAGGAAACUCUGGUGGAAGCUCCGCAGCGGUUCUGACGUGCAAAUCGAUCGUCAAAUUUGGGGUAUA
rnacentral:rRNA from 1 species